ensembl:snoRNA SNORD39 Small nucleolar RNA SNORD55/SNORD39
CAUGUAUAAUGAUAUAUUGGUAACACUGCAGACUUGGGGAAGCCAGCCAACCCUGGAGAUCUGAGUGUGAG